GUGGAAGGGGAGAAGGAGGACAAGAAAAGAGAAGUCCGGCAGUGUGAACAGCAUGUGUGAAGGCCCAGAGAAGCUGCAGUUAUCUUAUCCCUGCUUUCGGCAGCUGGAAUGCUCCGUGGAACAGGGCUGAGAUGAACGUUCUAUCUCCAAGGCUGCGUUUUGGGGCAAGUUAAGGAAAAGGAUCAAAACUGAGGCAAACUGUUGAGCCCUCUUGUGGGCUCAGCUAGAGACAUCAUUCCUAUACUCUUCAAGAAUCUACCACCUGAUCGGCUGUGGCUGCCACAAGCCACAGGAGAAACGGCCAUAAUUCAUGGGCAGCUGAAAUAAUUCCUCUAAGCUCUGGGAGGAAAGUGUUCCCAGAUGCAGGAAGGAGAACAACAAUGUAUAUUAAGCUGUUGCCAGCUAAUGUUGGUCAUAAAAAUCCCUAGCACUUGGGUAAGGCCUUUCAUCUUCCAAAUCUUUCCUCCAAGCCUUAGAACACUUAUCUCUGAGUUCUCCAUUUGAAUAACUGGAGGCCCAUUUUUCCCCUUCCAGAGCCACAAAGGGUCCACUUUCCAAAACCACAUAAAGAGAAAACAACGUCAAUGUGGCAACUUCUCCCAAAGAGGAGCAGAAUUCUGCUCUUGGUUAACAAGCACACAAAGAACAUCUCCCACAAACCCUUCCAACGCUUCACCUCUGAGCCACACAGGCCGCGUGCUAUCAGUUCAUUCCACAGAAUGUCUCGUUUGAAGAGCUAAAAUUUUCCAAACGUGAACUCAUUCUACCCACUGGUAGAAUGCUUUACUCCUUGGAGGUGAAGUCAUUUGACAUGAUUUAUUCAUUAAGACAAAGGUGAGGUAACUAAAACCAAAAUCCAUCCAAUUAGCUAUUUAUCCAACCUCUAACUCUCAGAGGAGAAAUUCUUUUUUCCUUGGUGUCAACCUCUCCCUCUACCUCCUGCCCUCCCUCACCUUCUUCCUUUGUGUGUUUUGCUCUCUUUUCUUUUCUGGUUUCUUUCUGUUCAGCAAAAUAGGGGAGAUGACAGCAGAGGCAUACAGGAGCCCCAGAGGAAAGGAGACCCAAUGAGCAGGUGGGAAAGAAACAGCCUCCUAUUCUAAGAAGCGGCUGUAUUCAAGUGAUGCAAAAAGAGGUUCAAGAGCACUGUCUGUCUCCCUAGGUGAAAAAGAGUCAACACCUAGAAAAUGGAAUCCAACUCGAGUUUCCUAACAAAGGCUCUGUACCCUACAUCCAAAUUCUUGGCAGGGCCCCCAAAUUACAACCCCCACGUGAAACUGAGAAGGGGGCUAAACCUUGGAGAUACAAGGCACGUGACAUUGAUAAGGAGGUGAAUUUAUGGCCCAGCAACAGUCAAAAGCCUCCAGUCACAGCUGCUGACAAGACCGAAGAGACCUCAGAAGGCAAACUUCAAGAAACAACCAGAAUGGGUCGUUUUCUGAACUCUGGGCAAAGGGGCAAAGGGAAACCACACUGUCUCAGGAGGACGAAGAACCCAGGGAAGCCAUCAGGGAGAAAAAUAAAGUGGCCUUCAUGGAGGAAACACAAGUUAAGGUUAAGGUCAUUCUACGUCUCAACACUGCGGACAUGGAAACACCACCCAGCUCUGUCCCUUCCUGAACUGGAUUUAGAAUUUGAAAUCUACCAUCCACCAAGGCUUGUUCUGCAUGUCCCAGACACAGACUAGAAGCAAACAAGGACUAGUGCAAACAGAAAGAUCUUUCCAAGUUCAUCGUAAGGUGGGUUUGUCCCCAGUGGAAUAGUGGCCUCAGGAGAUCAUAAACACACUGGUAGGGUGGGCUUCCAGCACUGGGGAGGAAUCGCACAGGGCCUGAGGCCCCAAAGCUUCCUUCCACCACUGUGAAUUUAUAGUUCCAUGCGCUUCUGCACUUGUUAAAUCAGGUCGCUAUUUGUUGUCUACUAAUCUACAAACCUGAAGCCCCCAGCCAGCAGAGGCCACUCUCGAUCCCACCCCCCAGCCCCAGUUCACUCCCAAAGAUGAAGACAGAGAGGACUGUCCAGUCUCUAAAAGGGAAGAAGGAGCAAGAACAAGACAUGGAACCAGAAAAUAAAAUAAAUACUCAUCUUAUACUCCCAACUUGAAAUGCACAUACAGGCAGCCCAACAGCCUGUAGAUAAUUUGGUUUACAAUGAUAUGCAAAGAUGCAGACCCAUCGUGGCUGAAUAGUUUCGUACAGUUAGAAGUGACCCUGGAAAGAAUAUUACUGACAGUCUUGCCUUAAAAACUCUUUUGCAAAAGACAUCAUGGUCCCAGACUUCAGCAGUUAACAGAUGGAAAUUAACUUCACUUCAAGUCAAAAACCUAAAAUCUCGCCGGGCGCGGUGGCUCAUGCCUGUAAUCC
rnacentral:lncRNA from 1 species